UCGUCAGCUUCUUUUGCCACCUCAGUUGCAACUUCAAGUGGGCUCUUGUUGCUCUGCACAGGUCAUAUUCUGUGGGUUACUAUUGCACAAUGCUAAGUCAAAGGUAUUGUUUAUUAAUAACUGAAUCUGUGGUUUACAGCAGUUGUAACAGAAGGGACUACUAUAGAUUUUUUUUUCUAUAUAAACAUUAAAGCCUUGUCUUACGUAAGCUGUACAACAAAUCCAAAAAGGGAAUAGACACUUGUUAGAUGUCAACCUUAUAUACUAGCUUCUAAAGAGUGAUUGCGACAUGAAAACAAAGGGAGAAUUUCAGACCAAAUUGGGUUGUGCAAAAUGGGAAUAUAAUACACCCUUCUUUUCUCUGUCCUUAUCUUCAAUGUAUUGACUGUUUUUCGACUCAAACAAACACUAAGCUAAAAUGACAGAUGAACUUGAAUGAUCUGGAAGAAGCUUUUUGACUGAUGUGUUUUUGCUAUUACCUGCAGGAACCUGAGGGGGAGAUCUCCCCUUGUGCGCGCCCCCGGCAUGGCGUCCGGCUCGAGCACAUUGGUGAGGAAGGCGAGCCUGCCAUCCUUUGUGCAACC
rnacentral:lncRNA from 1 species